AGCCACGCAGUGAGCACAAAGCGAACUAUUCUUUCGCCUUUUACUAAAGAAUAUUGUGUGUCCAUUGUAAUUAGUGGCAUACGCCUAUUUUUGAAGGAGUUACUCUUUAUUGAGUAC